rnacentral:rRNA from 1 species
AUUGAACGCUGGCGGCAGGCCUAACACAUGCAAGUCGAGCGGAUGACGGGAGCUUGCUCCUUGAUUCAGCGGCGGACGGGUGAGUAAUGCCUAGGAAUCUGCCUGGUAGUGGGGGACAACGUUUCGAAAGGAACGCUAAUACCGCAUACGUCCGACGGGAGAAAGCAGGGGACCUUCGGGCCUUGCGAUAUCAGAUGAGCCUAGGUCGGAUUAGCUAGUUGGUGGGGUAAUGGCCCACCAAGGCGACGAUCCGUAACUGGUCUGAGAGGAUGAUCAGUCACACUGGAACUGAGACACGGUCCAGACUCCUACGGGAGGCAGCAGUGGGGAAUAUUGGACAAUGGGCGAAAGCCUGAUCCAGCCAUGCCGCGUGUGUGAAGAAGGUCUUCGGAUUGUAAAGCACUUUAAGUUGGGAGGAAGGGCAGUAAGUUAAUACCUUGCUGUUUUGACGUUACCGACAGAAUAAGCACCGGCUAACUCUGUGCCAGCCGCCGCAGUAAAAC